AGGCCAUGUGAGUUGAAAUGCGAUUAACGCAGCAUUGUUAGGAAGGAAGACGUUGCCUCGUGAUUCGUGCCAUCCUAAGGAAAAACCUCUCCUUAAACCCACAGACACAUCAUAGUCCGACUGCUCCCAUUCCAUAAGAUUAUUGACUCUUUGACUACCCUCCGCCCCCUCUCUCCUCUUCAAUCUCCACCUGCUCUGUUCCUCUGUGGACUCAGACACACGCAGGGUGGGAGAGGGAAGGAGGAGAGGGUCAAAUUGAGGAAAUACGUUGAAGGAACUCUGUGUUUGCAGAGGAAUAAACAUAGGGCUCAUACAUACAUGCGUUACUGUCUUCUUCCCAGUCAAACUUCACCCUCCCAUGGCUAUCUAUGGCUUCUCCUCCUCCCCUUCCAGCUACAUAUGCGGGAUGAGUCAUCUUCCCCAGAAGCCCAUCUCUUUCCCAAGGUAUGCUUGCUUCACUGUUUCGAGCUUAGACAUCCGAUGAUAUAUGUCUCGCAGUGUGUGAGCUAAAGUAUGUAAAGAGAGUGGGGAAUGAAGCUAUUGGUCCGUUGAGCAUUUUAUUAGUCGACUCAUCUCAACAGUUAGUUCCCUCCGAGAGGAUUCUCUGCUCUCGGGAGUCGGGAUGUUUUGAUAUGUAUCUUGCUCUGAGAUGGAAUGUGAAGUAUCACUGUUUUGAAUUAGUGAAGCCUUAUAUUUUUUCUCUAACAAUAGUCGUGUACACUGAUGAUACGACAUAUUGAUCAUCGAUCACUAUUUUUGAGAUAUAAGGUUCCGAAA